AUUGAGAGUUUGAUCCUGGCUCAGGACGAACGCUGGCGGCGUGCUUAACACAUGCAAGUCGAGCGAUGAAACUCCUUCGGGAGUGGAUUAGCGGCGGACGGGUGAGUAACACGUGGGUAACCUGCCUCAUAGAGGGGAAUAGCCUUUCGAAAGGAAGAUUAAUACCGCAUAAGAUUGUAGUACCGCAUGGUACAGCAA
rnacentral:rRNA from 1 species